CUGACGAGCGGCGGACGGGUGAGUAAUGCCUAGGGAACUGCCCAGUCGAGGGGGAUAACAGUUGGAAACGACUGCUAAUACCGCAUACGCCCUACGGGGGAAAAGAGGGGACCUUCGGGCCUUCUGCGAUUGGAUGUACCUAGGUGGGAUUAGCUAGUAGGUGAGGUAAUGGCUCACCUAGGCGACGAUCCCUAGCUGUUCUGAGAGGAUGAUCAGCCACACUGGGACUGAGACACGGCCCAGACUCCUACGGGAGGCAGCAGUGGGGAAUAUUGCACAAUGGGCGCAAGCCUGAUGCAGCCAUGCCGCGUGUGUGAAGAAGGCCUUCGGGUUGUAAAGCACUUUCAGCGAGGAGGAAAGGUUAAGUGUUAAUAGCACUUAGCUGUGACGUUACUCGCAGAAGAAGCACCGGCUAACUUCGUGCCAGCAGCCGCGGUAAUA
rnacentral:rRNA from 1 species